rnacentral:rRNA from 1 species
CCUACGGGUGGCAGCAGUGAGGAAUAUUGGUCAAUGGGCGUAAGCCUGAACCAGCCAAGUCGCGUGAGGGACGACUGCCCUAUGGGUUGUAAACCUCUUUUAUCCGGGGAUAAAGGUGUCCACGUGUGGGUGUUUGCAGGUACCUCAUGAAUAAGGAUCGGCUAAUUCCGUGCCAGCAGCCGCGGUAAUACGGAGGGUGCGGGCGUUAUCCGGAUUUAUUGGGUUUAAAGGGAGCGUAGGCGGGUUGUAAAGUCAGCGGUAAAAUUUGGGGGCUCAACCGUAGGGUGCCGGUGAAACUGGGGACCUUGAGUGCGCGGAAGGUAGGCGGAAUGCGUGGUGUAGCGGUGAAAUGCUUAGAUAUCACGAAGAACCCCGAUUGCGAAGGCAGCGUGCCGGAGCGAGACUGACGCUGAAGCGCGAAAGCGCGGGUAUCGAACAGGAUUAGAUACCCGAGUAGUC